rnacentral:rRNA from 1 species
AUGUACAUUCUUACAACAUAGCUUUAAUGAACCGAAUCCCAUUAGAAAUCCAUAGUUAAGCACGCCUAGGCUAGAGUAGUACUGGUAUGGGUGACCACCCAGGAAGUUUUAGUAUUUUAUAUG